rnacentral:rRNA from 1 species
GAUGAACGCUGGCGGCGUGCCUAAUACAUGCAAGUCGAGCGAAUGGAUUAAGAGCUUGCUCUUAUGAAGUUAGCGGCGGACGGGUGAGUAACACGUGGGUAACCUGCCCAUAAGACUGGGAUAACUCCGGGAAACCGGGGCUAAUACCGGAUAACAUUUUGAACCGCAUGGUUCGAAAUUGAAAGGCGGCUUCGGCUGUCACUUAUGGAUGGACCCGCGUCGCAUUAGCUAGUUGGUGAGGUAACGGCUCACCAAGGCAACGAUGCGUAGCCGACCUGAGAGGGAGAUCGGCCACAAUGGGACUGAGACACGGCCCAGACUCCUACGGGAGGCAGCAGUAGGGAAUCUUCCGCAAUGGACGAAAGUCUGACGGAGCAACGCCGCGCGAGUGAUGAAGGCUUUCGGGUCGUAAAACUCUGUUGUUAGGGAAGAACAAGUGCUAGUUGAAUAAGCUGGCACCUUGACGGUACCUAACCAGAAAGCCACGGCUAACUACGUGCCAGCAGCCGCCGUAA